UGGGAUUACAAGCGUGAGCCACCACACCCGGCCCACUAAUCUACUUUAAUAUAAUUAACAUGUUCCUCUAGUCCUAGGGAGAAUGAGCCUGAUGACUUUACCAUUUUCCACCUCUAAGAGCCAAUCGCAAAGGAGGCUGGCUGGCAUCUUGUGUCUGUCUAGCAUCUCUACCAGUUUCUGUAGAAAACCCUCAAGCUGUGCCAAGACGAUCAUGUCUGGACACAGCUCUUGGUGUCACGGGGUGUCUCCUCCUACUGCCUAUCGCCCUUUGCAGCCACCAGAAUAAUCAUGCAGGAGCCAGGGCCCCAUAUUAUCUACCGCUGUCCAUCUGCUCUCCAGCACAUCAGAGCAGCCCUUCCCCUGUGUGAGAUUCCUCUCCAGGGCAAGACUUGAAGGGAGCAUCAAGGUUGCAGUGGAAGAAAUAAAUUGGAAGUGGAGCUGGGCAGUUAUUUAUUUAUUUAAAUAGAGACAAGGCCGAAUGCGAUGGCUCACACCCGUAAUCCCAGCACUUUAGGAGGCCGAGGUGGGUAGACGACCUGAGGUCAGGAGUUCAAGACCAGCCUGAUCAACAUGGCGAAAUCCCGUCUCUACUAAAACUACAAAAAUUACCUGGGCACGGUGACACGCACCUGUAGUCCCAGCUACUCAGGAGGCUGAGGCACAAGAAUUGCUUGAACCUGGGAGGCCAAAAUUGCAGUGAGCCAAGAUUGCACUACUGCACUCCAGCCUGGGCGACAGAGCCAGA
rnacentral:lncRNA from 1 species